UACGAAGGGGGCUAGCGUUGCUCGGAAUUACUGGGCGUAAAGGGCGCGUAGGCGGGUCGUUAAGUUAGAGGUGAAAGCCCAGGGCUCAACCCUGGAAUUGCCUUUGAUACUGGCGGCCUUGAGUAUGGCAGAGGUGUGUGGAACUCCGAGUGUAGAGGUGAAAUUCGUAGAUAUUCGGAGAACACCAGUGGCGAAGGCGACACACUGGGACGGUACUGACGCUGAGACGCGAAAGCGUGGGGAGCGAACAGG
rnacentral:rRNA from 1 species